rnacentral:rRNA from 1 species
AACGAACGCUGGCGGCAUGCCUAACACAUGCAAGUCGAACGAAGGCUUCGGCCUUAGUGGCGCUCGGGUGCGUAACGCGUGGGAAUCUGCCCUUGGGUUCGGAAUAACAGCGGGAAACUGCUGCUAAUACCGGAUGAUGACGUAAGUCCAAAGAUUUAUCGCCCAAGGAUGAGCCCGCGUAGGAUUAGCUAGUUGGUGGGGUAAAGGCCCACCAAGGCGAGGAUCCUUAGCUGGUCGGGGAGGAAGAUCAGCCACGCUGGGACUCAGACACGGCCCAGACUCCUACGGGAGGGAGCAGUGGGGAAUAUUGGACGAUGGGCGAAGGCCUGAUCCAGCAAUGCCGCGUGAGUGAUGAAGGCCUUAGGGUUGUGAAGCUGUUUUACCCGAGAUGAUAAUGACAGUACCGGGAGAAUAAGCACCGGCUAACUCCGUG